UCGUGUAAACUCUUCCGGGGACUAGUUGCAGGGCGGACUAGUCGCAGGAAGAUAAUUAGGCCAAAAGGUUGGCAUGUAUUGGAAGGAUGGAAUACGAAAGACGGACUGGAAUACUUUAGGCUGAACUUUUCAAGAUUCACAAGCUGUAAAGUUCUCUAAACAUUUCAGUUCUACUGACAAUGUUCAAAUGCCCAAUAUCGUUUUGUUUCUAACACAUGUGGCUUCUAUUACACAGAUAAUGUCACGUAUGGUCAUAUAGCGAACAGUUUUCCCUACAGAAACACGGUGGACAUCGUGGAACUUAAAGGCAAGGAUCUUGUGCAGGUUUUUGAACAGGUGGCUUCACUGUACGACGAAAGCAACCCCAGUGCGUCAUUUCUGCAAGUCUCAGGACUACAAAUACAGUACGACAUGAAAAAGCCGUCUGGUAGCAGAGUGGUCGCAAUUCAGGUUCGUUGUGCUUCCUGCAAGUACCCUUCGUACCAAGCUCUUGACCAGUCCACUGUGUACAAAGUAAUUCUAUCGUCCUACAUGGCCGGGGGUGGAGCGGGGCUGAGUGUUAUCGCAGAGAAGAAACUCUCUCAUCAAGUUGGCAACAUAACUGAUGAUCAGGUGAUGAUGGACUAUUUCAAGGCAAAAUCUCCGAUCAUGACCGGGAUAGAAAACAGAAUCACCUUUGUGGAUGAAAGGGAUAAGCCAUGUGUUAGCGGAGGAAACCUACCCAGUUUUGGCUUUCCUUUGGUAUUUACGAUCGUUACAUCAUAUUUUCAGUUGUAAAACAAGUUGCUUGAGUAAGCGUAAAAACAUAGAUUAUGGGUGUGUUCCUUUAGGAUGUUCCGGAACAGGAUCAAUCAUUCAACUUGAUCACUCGGGUCGUGGUGCAUCCGAGGAACCGAUGAAUGACAUCUGGGCAAGGAUUCAUUGGUAUUUUUAGGCUGUGUCCACAGUCCACACUAAGCCGGAGGAAUUUGAACACGGAGUUUUCACUCUGAAAACGCAAAAUUAAAAAAUGCCAAGAUUCCGUCCCCCACUACGCCGGAGGAAUUUAAAAACGCAACAAUCGUCGGUCAUUUUGGAUUUGUGUAUUGAGGAAAUCUCUGGCAGGGAAAUCACUUGAUUGUCGAGAUGUCUUCGUUUUCUAAAACCUCCGUUUUCAAAAUGCUUUCCGUCCACACUAAAAUACAAAGCCGGCGUUUUCAAAUUUCUCCAGUUUGAAGAGCGUUUUCGAAAGCUCUGAUUAGUGUGGAUGGUUGGCCUAACCGUAGAAAUUAAGCUCGGUAUUAAAAUCCAUCCGCCGUUAUGUGGACGGGGCCUCAGAUGCAGCAUGAUCCGAGUGAUCUUGGAUCAUUUGUCCUGAUUCAGAUCAUCACAAAAAAACUGAAACGCACCCUUAUAAAAAUGGUUAGGUAAGAUCCCACGACAAGUUGAAAACCUAGCUAUGUUUUGCAUGGCCAUAAGAUCUUCCAGUAUUGCAACACUAAACAAUUAAAUGGCAAUGUUGUAGACAGGAUCGAUACAAAUCAAGGUACAUCAAACUGAUUUUGAUAAUAGAUUGUUGCGUCAAUAAUCUAAGACUGACAAAAUGAACUCCGUCAACUGAAUAUUAAUAAAAUAUUCAGGAGAAUUCAUUUAAUUCUUUGGUAUAUCGCUUUUAUUUGAGAUUUAGGGUGAUUCGGUACAUGAUUUUUUUAUUUUCCUGUUAAACCCGUUCCUAAGAAUUCUAGUUUCUUGGAGCGCUGAAUAUUAUGUUGCCAAUACUGGAUAUUUUCGUCGCAUUACGUUUACAUUGAAUGUGUUUGAUCUUAGCUUCUGUCAAUAUAAAGAGCUAGAGUAGGAUCAAAAUCGGAAAAAUAGCAUUAGAGAAGAAAGUACUGUUACCAUAGGGAUGAAGAUCUGCCGACUGUUAAAAAGAUCUUUCUAAUAAUGGA